CUUCACACUAAAGGCUCCUCAUGUUCUCAAGAUUAUUCAAGCAAGCAAGCAAUAUACUGUAUCUCUCAAGCAAUUUACUCAUACGUGUGAUUGGAAAGACGACAACCAUUUGUUCUACGACACUACUAUCUGACAGGUUCUUAACUCAUCAGGCCGGGCUACUGAGUAUACAUAUUGUGUUCAUCUCGCCUUCCUUCUUAGGAAAAAUCAUGUACUGAAGGUAAG